CGGGCUGGUCGUUUGGAUCCAUCAACCAUCGGGCACAGUGGACAAGCAAUAUCGAUAAUAGGUUGCCCUCUUUCAUCUGUGUUGUCAACACCAUUACGCCUUGUUACUACCAACAUUUAUGGUAUGGCGGCUACAGCAGUCGGGGUGUAUUGUACGAGUCGAUAUGCUGCUGAUAUCGGCAGGAGGGAUGCGGUGAAAGUUCGGUGGAGGAUCUUACAGCAAGACUGACAACGGGCUUGCUUCAGGCGAUUGAGCCCCAACCCCUGGUAGUCCCUGCCCAUUAGCAUCUGCUUGCUAAAAGUCUUCAACCCGGUCAAAUUAUCUAUGUCUUUCCAAAU